UACGAAGGGCGCUAGCGUUGUUCGGAAUCACUGGGCGUAAAGCGCACGUAGGCGGCUUUUUAAGUCAGGGGUGAAAUCCCGGGGCUCAACCCCGGAACUGCCCUUGAAACUGGAGAGCUAGAAUCUUGGAGAGGCGAGUGGAAUUCCGAGUGUAGAGGUGAAAUUCGUAGAUAUUCGGAAGAACACCAGUGGCGAAGGCGACUCGCUGGACAAGUAUUGACGCUGAGGUGCGAAAGCGUGGGGAGCAAACAGG
rnacentral:rRNA from 1 species